rnacentral:rRNA from 1 species
CAAUCGAACCCGGAGAUAGCUGGUUCUCCUCGAAAUAGCUUUAGGGCUAGCCUCGCAUUAGUUUACCGGAGGUAGAGCACUGAAUGGUCUAGGGGGCCUCACCGCCUACCGAAACCUAUCAAACUGCGAAUGCCGGAUAAAUGAUGUGCGGGAGUCAGGCCGCGAGAGAUAAGUUCCGCGGUCAAAAGGGGAACACCCCAGAUCGUCUGCUAAGGUCCCCAAGUACGCGUUAAGUGGGAAAGGAUGUUGGAUUGCACAGACAACCAGGAUGUUGGCUUAGAAGCAGCCACACAUUCAAAGAGUGCGUAAUAGCUCACUGGUCGAGUGAUCCAGCGCCGAAAAUGUAACGGGGCUAAAACGCGACACCGAAGCAGCGGGAUGCGUAAGCAUCGGUAGAGGAGCAUUGUGUGAGGGUUGAAGCCAGAGCGGGAGCACUGGUGGACUUCACAGAAGAGAGAAUGCCGGUAUGAGUAGCGAGACCCAUGCGAGAAACAUGGGCGUCGAAGGCCCAAGGUUUCCUGGGGAAGGUUCAUCCACCCAGGGUAAGUCGGGACCUAAGCCGAGGACUGAGGUCGUAGGCGAUGGACAGCAGGUAGAGAUUCCUGCACCACUUACACUUGUUUGACGAAGCAGUGACACAGAAGGAUAGGACGAGCGCGGUGAUGGUCAACCGCGUAGGCGGCACGAGGCCGGGAAGCAGUGAAGUACACUUCCCGCAAAGGCUGAGUGUUGACAGGACCGAAAAGAAGUAGGGAAGCGUCCGAGUUCACGCUGGCGAGAAAAGCUGCUAAGGAGAGUGUGAGUGCCCGUACCGGAAACCGACGCAGGUGGGCGAGGAGAGAAUCCUGAGACGGACGGGAGAACUCUUGUUAAGGAACUCGGCAAAAUGACCCCGUAACUUCGGGAGAAGGGGUGCCUCGAAAGAGGCCGCAGAGAAUAGUCACAAGCGACUGUUUAGCAAAAACACAGGUAUCUGCGAAAGCGAGAGCUGACGUAUAGGUGCUGACGCCUGCCCGGUGCUGGAAGGUUAAGGGGAAGUGUUAGGGGAAACCCGAAGCAGAGAACCGAAGCCCCAGUAAACGGCGGCCGUAACAAUAACGGUCCUAAGGUAGCGAAAUUCCUUGUCGGGUAAGUUCCGACCCGCACGAAUGGCGUAACGACUUGUGAGCUGUCUCAACAGGAGGCCCGGUGAAAUUGAAGUAUGUGUGAAGAUGCACAUUACCCGCGACUGGACGGAAAGACCCCGUAGAGCUUUACUGUAACCUGACAUUGGAUCUUGAUAACGGAUGCACAGGAUAGGUGGGACGCUGGGAGACGAGGACUUUGGUUUUCGUGGAGCGGCCGUUGGGAUACCACUCUUCUGUUAUUGAGAUUCUAACCUCAAGCCGUGAGCCGGAUGAGAGACAGUGUCAGGCGGACAGUUUGACUGGGGCGGUCGCCUCCGAAAGAGUAACGGAGGCGCCCAAAGGU